UGCACCUUCACUGAGACAGGAAGCGGGGAGACAGCUCAACAACCUGGCUGACUCCACCGAGGAGGGGACCAUGCCUUCCGAGCUGGUGGAGGUCAUCAGAAAGUUGUGGAAGGACGGUGGAGUUCAAGCCUGCUUUGACAGAGCCGCAGAGUUCCAGCUCAAUGACUCGGCAUCUUAUUACCUGAACCAGCUGGACCGGAUUACAGACCCUGACUACCUCCCUAAUGAGCAAGACGUGCUUCGAUCCAGAGUCAAGACAACAGGCAUCAUCGAGACCAAGUUUUCUGUAAAAGAUUUGAAUUUUAGGAUGUUUGACGUGGGAGGGCAGAGAUCAGAGAGGAAGAAAUGG
rnacentral:lncRNA from 1 species